AUGUCGUGAUGGGGACAUUUUCUCAACUUCUCCUUAAAACGCCCCCAUGCUCAUACAAAGACUCCUUCUCCAUCUGAUAGAAAUUAUUAAUCUCUCCCCUCAACUU